CUUUCCCUCUUUCUUCCUGCCUAACACAUGCAAGUCGAGCGGAUGAAGGGAGCUUGCUCCUGGAUUCAGCGGCGGACGGGUGAGUAAUGCCUAGGAAUCUGCCUGGUAGUGGGGGAUAACGUCCGGAAACGGGCGCUAAUACCGCAUACGUCCUGAGGGAGAAAGUGUGGGAUCUUCGGACCUCACGCUAUCAGAUGAGCCUAGGUCGGAUUAGCUAGUUGGUGGGGUAAAGGCGUACCAAGGCGACGAUCCGUAACUGGUCUGAGAGGAUGAUCAGUCACACUGGAACUGAGACACGGUCCAGACUCCUACGGGAGGCAGCAGUGGGGAAUAUUGGACAAUGGGCGAAAGCCUGAUCCAGCCAUGCCGCGUGUGUGAAGAAGGUCUUCGGAUUGUAAAGCACUUUAAGUUGGGAGGAAGGGCAGUAAGUUAAUACCUUGCUGUUUUGACGUUACCAACAGAAUAAGCACCGGCUAACUUCGUG
rnacentral:rRNA from 1 species